rnacentral:sRNA from 17 species
CGCGUAGAAUAGCGGAACUGCGAAGCAAGGAAGCCGGUGAGAGCCCGGCGCGGUCGCGCCACUGUAAUCGGCAAUCCAAGCCGAAAGCCAGACCUGAGCUUCGCACCAUUCCUUUGUAAUCGACUAUCGGGGCGCGUUACCCCAGGAGAUGUCCA